AUUUGAUGAUGGGGGCAACUUGCACACAGUUUCUUGAAGCGCUCCCAAUAUUCGUGUAGAGAUUCACCGUUGUCCUGCCUUACUCCACAAAUUUAUUUUCUAAUAUU
rnacentral:snoRNA from 1 species